rnacentral:rRNA from 1 species
UAUCUCUGUAGAGUCUGCAUAUCAAUAAGCGGAGGAAAAGAAACUAACAAGGAUUCCCUUAGUAACGGCGAGUGAAGCGGGAAGAGCUCAAAUUUGAAAUCUUCAAGGUUCUACCUUGACGAAUUGUAGUUUAAAGAAGUGUUUUCUGUUAGAUGAGUAGCAAAAGUUCCUUGGAAUAGGGACAUCAUAGAGGGUGAGAAUCCCGUAUUUGGUUAUUCAUUCUAGCUUUGUGAUACACUUUCAAAGAGUCGGAUUGUUUGGGAAUGCAGUCCAAAAUGGGUGGUAAAUUUCAUCUAAAGCUAAAUAUUGGCGAGAGACCGAUAGCGAACAAGUACCGUGGGGGAAAGAUGAAAAGAACUUUGAAAAGAGAGUUAAACAGUACGUGAAAUUGUCAAAAGGGAAGCGUUUGACACCAGUGUUGUUUUCUCGAAAAUCAAUUAAAAAAGGCAGGAUUUUGUGUUGUAUUGACUUUAUCAGCUUUCUGCACUCUUUUCUUGUCUUUUUUAAUGCACUUUUUGGUUAACAAGUCAACAUCAAUUUCUUUUGUUGUAAAAGAGUAUUCGGAAGGUGGCUUUCUUUUCGGAGAAAGUGUUUAUAGCCCUAUACUUCUACAAUCGGAGAGAUUGAGGUCUGCAGCGUAGAUCCUUCGGGGUUAGAUACAUUUGUGCUAAGUUAUAGCCUUUCAUAGACAACUUGUUGACUAUGUUUAGUCAUGCGGCUUACUCGCUUAUGUAAUUUUACCUACGCUUAGGAUGUUGAAGAUGUAGCACAUCAU